AUAAUGCAAGUCGACGCACAGCGAAAGGUGCUUGCACCUUUCAAGUGAGUGGCGAACGGGUGAGUAACACGUGGACAACCUGCCUCAAGGCUGGGGAUAACAUUUGGAAACAGAUGCUAAUACCGAAUAAAACUUAGUAUCGCAUGAUACCAGGUUAAAAGGCGCUACGGCGUCACCUAGAGAUGGAUCCGCGGUGCAUUAGUUAGUUGGUGGGGUAAAGGCCUACCAAGACAAUGAUGCAUAGCCGAGUUGAGAGACUGAUCGGCCACAUUGGGACUGAGACACGGCCCAAACUCCUACGGGAGGCUGCAGUAGGGAAUCUUCCACAAUGGGCGAAAGCCUGAUGGAGCAACGCCGCGUGUGUGAUGAAGGCUUUCGGGUCGUAAAGCACUGUUGUAUGGGAAGAAAAGUUAAGGUAGGGAAUGACCUUAGCCUGACGGUACCAUACCAGAAAGGGACGGCUAAAUACGUGCCAGCAGCCGCGGUAAUACGUAUGUCCCGAGCGUUAUCCGGAUUUAUUGGGCGUAAAGCGAGCGCAGACGGUUGGUUAAGUCUGAUGUGAAAGCCCGGAGCUCAACUCCGGAAAGGCAUUGGAAACUGGUUAACUUGAGUGCAGUAGAGGUAAGUGGAACUCCAUGUGUAGCGGUGGAAUGCGUAGAUAUAUGGAAGAACACCAGCGGCGAAGGCGGCUUACUGGACUGUAACUGACGUUGAGGCUCGAAAGUGUGGGUAGCAAACAGGAUUAGAUACCCUGGUAGUCCACACCGUAAACGAUGAACACUAGGUGUUAGGAGGUUUCCGCCUCUUAGUGCCGAAGCUAACGCAUUAAGUGUUCCGCCUGGGGAGUACGACCGCAAGGUUGAAACUCAAAGGAAUUGACGGGGACCCGCACAAGCGGUGGAGCAUGUGGUUUAAUUCGAAGCAACGCGAGAACCUUACCAGGUCUUGACAUCCUUUGAAGCUUUUAGAAAUAGAAGUGUUCUC
rnacentral:rRNA from 1 species